rnacentral:rRNA from 1 species
UUAAGCGACUAAGCGUACACGGUGGAUGCCCUGGCAGUCAGAGGCGAUGAAGGACGUGCUAAUCUGCGAAAAGCGCCGGCGAGGUGAUAUGAACCCUUGACCCGGCGAUGUCCGAAUGGGGAAACCCAGUGCAAUUCGUUGCACUAUCGUUAACUGAAUACAUAGGUUAACGAGGCGAACCGGGGGAACUGAAACAUCUAAGUACCCCGAGGAAAAGAAAUCAACCGAGAUUCCCCCAGUAGCGGCGAGCGAACGGGGAGCAGCCCGGAGUCUGAAUCAGCUUGUGUGUUAGUGGAACGGUCUGGAAAGUCCGACGGUACAGGGUGAUAGUCCCGUACACGAAAGCACACAUGCUGUGAACUCGAAGAGUAGGGCGGGACACGUGGUAUCCUGUCUGAAUAUGGGGGGACCAUCCUCCAAGGCUAAAUACUCCUGACUGACCGAUAGUGAACCAGUACCGUGAGGGAAAGGCGAAAAGAACCCCGGCGAGGGGAGUGAAAAAGAACCUGAAACCGUGUACGUACAAGCAGUGGGAGCCUCUUUAUGGGGUGACUGCGUACCUUUUGUAUAAUGGGUCAGCGACUUAUAUUCUGUAGCAAGGUUAACCGUAUAGGGGAGCCGAAGGGAAACCGAGUCUUAACUGGGCGUUAAGUUGCAGGGUAUAGACCCGAAACCCGGUGAUCUAGCCAUGGGCAGGUUGAAGGUUGGGUAACACUAACUGGAGGACCGAACCGACUAAUGUUGAAAAAUUAGCGGAUGACCUGUGGCUGGGGGUGAAAGGCCAAUCAAACCGGGAGAUAGCUGGUUCUCCCCGAAAGCUAUUUAGGUAGCGCCUCGUGAACUCAUCUUCGGGGGUAGAGCACUGUUUCGGCUAGGGGGCCAUCCCGGCUUACCAACCCGAUGCAAACUACGAAUACCGAAGAAUGUUAUCACGGGAGACACACGGCGGGUGCUAACGUCCGUCGUGAAGAGGGAAACAACCCAGACCGCCAGCUAAGGUCCCAAAGUCAUGGUUAAGUGGGAAACGAUGUGGGAAGGCACAGACAGCCAGGAUGUUGGCUUAGAAGCAGCCAUCAUUUAAAGAAAGCGUAAUAGCUCACUGGUCGAGUCGGCCUGCGCGGAAGAUGUAACGGGGCUAAACCAUGCACCGAAGCUGCGGCAGCGACACUAUGUGUUGUUGGGUAGGGGAGCGUUCUGUAAGCCGUUGAAGGUGUGCUGUGAGGCAUGCUGGAGGUAUCAGAAGUGCGAAUGCUGACAUAAGUAACGAUAAAGCGGGUGAAAAGCCCGCUCGCCGGAAGACCAAGGGUUCCUGUCCAACGUUAAUCGGGGCAGGGUGAGUCGACCCCUAAGGCGAGGCCGAAAGGCGUAGUCGAUGGGAAACAGGUUAAUAUUCCUGUACUUGGUGUUACUGCGAAGGGGGGACGGAGAAGGCUAUGUCAGCCGGGCGACGGUUGUCCCGGUUUAAGCAUGUAGGCGGAGGUUCCAGGUAAAUCCGGUACCUUUUAACGCUGAGGUGUGAUGACGAGGCACUACGGUGCUGAAGUGAUAAAUGCCCUGCUUCCAGGAAAAGCCUCUAAGCAUCAGGUAACACGAAAUCGUACCCCAAACCGACACAGGUGGUCAGGUAGAGAAUACCAAGGCGCUUGAGAGAACUCGGGUGAAGGAACUAGGCAAAAUGGUGCCGUAACUUCGGGAGAAGGCACGCUGAUGUGUAGGUGAAGCCCCUGCGGGCGGAGCUGAAAUCAGUCGAAGAUACCAGCUGGCUGCAACUGUUUAUUAAAAACACAGCACUGUGCAAACACGAAAGUGGACGUAUACGGUGUGACGCCUGCCCGGUGCCGGAAGGUUAAUUGAUGGGGUUAGCGGCAACGCGAAGCUCUUGAUCGAAGCCCCGGUAAACGGCGGCCGUAACUAUAACGGUCCUAAGGUAGCGAAAUUCCUUGUCGGGUAAGUUCCGACCUGCACGAAUGGCGUAAUGAUGGCCAGGCUGUCUCCACCCGAGACUCAGUGAAAUUGAACUCGCUGUGAAGAUGCAGUGUACCCGCGGCAAGACGGAAAGACCCCGUGAACCUUUACUAUAGCUUGACACUGAACACUGGUCCUUGAUGUGUAGGAUAGGUGGGAGGCUUUGAAGCGUGGACGCCAGUCUGCGUGGAGCCAACCUUGAAAUACCACCCUUUAAUGGCUGGUGUUCUAACGUAGACCCGUAAUCCGGGUUGCGGACAGUGUCUGGUGGGUAGUUUGACUGGGGCGGUCUCCUCCCAAAGAGUAACGGAGGAGCACGAAGGUUGGCUAAUCCUGGUCGGACAUCAGGAGGUUAGUGCAAUGGCAUAAGCCAGCUUGACUGCGAGCGUGACGGCGCGAGCAGGUGCGAAAGCAGGUCAUAGUGAUCCGGUGGUUCUGAAUGGAAGGGCCAUCGCUCAACGGAUAAAAGGUACUCCGGGGAUAACAGGCUGAUACCGCCCAAGAGUUCAUAUCGACGGCGGUGUUUGGCACCUCGAUGUCGGCUCAUCACAUCCUGGGGCUGAAGUAGGUCCCAAGGGUAUGGCUGUUCGCCAUUUAAAGUGGUACGCGAGCUGGGUUUAGAACGUCGUGAGACAGUUCGGUCCCUAUCUGCCGUGGGCGCUGGAGAAUUGAGGGGGGCUGCUCCUAGUACGAGAGGACCGGAGUGGACGCAUCACUGGUGUUCGGGUUGUCAUGCCAAUGGCACUGCCCGGUAGCUAAAUGCGGAAGAGAUAAGUGCUGAAAGCAUCUAAGCACGAAACUUGCCCCGAGAUGAGUUCUCCCUGAGACUUUAAGUCUCCUGAAGGAACGUUGAAGACGACGACGUUGAUAGGUCGGGUGUGUAAGCGCAGCGAUGCGUUGAGCUAACCGAUACUAAUGAACCGUGAGGCUUAACCUU